rnacentral:lncRNA from 1 species
CUUUUUGCAUAUUUUAUCAGUUGAGGUUCUGUUUAGACUAGCAACAGAAACUUGCCAAUUUAAUAACAAAAACAAUUUAUUGAAAGGAUGUUGGGAACUGACUGUAAGGAAGACAGGAUUGGAGAACCAGGUUUAGAAGAGAAAAGGCAGUACCAGAAGUUUUUGAUUGGAGAAAACUACAGGGCAAUGUUGCACAAGAACCAUUGCUGUGUCUCAGGACUGCAUCAUUGCUUACCCAACAUGACUCAGCCUCGGUAUUGCCACUGACUCACGGAGCUCCUAAUAGAGGAGAAUUAGUGUCACAGAUUGACUGGAAAACCAAUCCACAUGAAGCCAGGAAGAGAAAUGAAGCUGCUGUUGCUGAAUCCAUAGCUGGCCUUAAUGAUGCUGGCUAGGAAAGACGGCCCAUUCUGGGAGAGAUAAGUCAAUUUUGCAGUGUCUGUUAUUAUCAUAGUGACUAUUGUCCUCCUGUUUUAUAUUUAUUUACCUAAAUUGUUUUGGAAAGACUCAGAGGUAUAGAGACAUGCCUACUUUUUGCAAAAAUCAUCACACUGUCAUGGAGGUAGUCCAGGCUAUGGGGCUCUUAUUUGUUGGUGUCUUGGGCAAGUUGCUUGACCUCUGAUCAUUGUUUGCUUAUUCUUAUAUCGCCCCUGUAUUUCAGACUCACUCUGUGUCAGGCAUUUGUUUACCUUUGUAGCAAGCUCAGGAGGAAAAUACCAUUGCCCUUGUUUUACAGGUGAUGAAACUGUACGUUUUCCAAGGACACAGUGCUAGGGAUUAUCAGUCUCAGACAUCUGCGUGAGCUGCAUCUGGGAGAGCUAUGUUUCUGAAUCUUUCUUGGUCUAUCAUAUAUCAUAUAUGAGUGUACAUUAGUCAAACGACUCAGGAUCAGGAAUCAGGAAUCAGAAGAAAAUAUUAAUGAUAACUUCAUCCUCAAGCACAAUGGACAAAGCUAUAGAUGUACCUAAUUCUUCAGCAAAAAUGUACAGUUAUGAGAUCUUGACAUCUAUGGUUCUUCAUUGUUCAGGACACAGCUGAAGU